rnacentral:rRNA from 1 species
AUUGAACGCUGGCGGCAUGCUUUACACAUGCAAGUCGAACGGCAGCGGGGUAGUGCUUGCACUACUGCCGGCGAGUGGCGAACGGGUGAGUAAUAUAUCGGAACGUACCGAGUAAUGGGGAAUAACCAACCAAAAAUUGGGCUAAAACCGAAAAGGUCCGGAGGGGGAAGGCGGGGGAUGGCAAGCCCUCCCGUAUUUGAGCCGGCGGUAACCGGUUAGUUAGGUGGUGGGGGAAAGGCCUACCAAGGCGACGAUCAGUAGCGGGUCUGGGAGGACGAUCCGCCACACUGGGACUGAGACACGGCCCAGACUCCUACGGGAGGCAGCAGUGGGGAAUUUUGGACAAUGGGGGCAACCCUGAUCCAGCCAUGCCGCGUGUAUGAAGAAGGCCUUCGGGUUGUAAAGUACUUUUGUUAGGGAAGAAAAGGGAAGUGCUAAUACCACUUUUUGCUGACGGUACCUAAAGAAUAAGCACCGGCUAACUACGUG